rnacentral:ncRNA from 1 species
GCUGAAAGCAUAUAAGUAGUAAGCCCACCCCAAGAUGAGUGCUCUCUCCUCCGACUUCCCUAGAGCCUCCGGUAUCACAGCCGAGACAGCGACGGGUUCUCCACCCAUACGGGGAUGGAGCGACAGAAGUAUGGAAAUAGGAUAAGGUAGCGGCGAGACGAGCCGUUUAAAUAGGUGUCAAGUGGAAGUGCAGUGAUGUAUGCAGCUGAGGCAUCCUAACGAACGAACGAUUUGAACCU